CCUACGGGGGGCUGCAGUGGGGAAUAUUGGGCAAUGGGCGCAAGCCUGACCCAGCAACGCCGCGUGAAGGAAGAAGGCUUUCGGGUUGUAAACUUCUUUUCUCAGGGACGAAGCAAGUGACGGUACCUGACGAAUAAGCCACGGCUAACUACGUGCCAGCAGCCGCGGUAAUACGUAGGUGGCAAGCGUUAUCCGGAUUUACUGGGUGUAAAGGGCGUGUAGGCGGGAAAGCAAGUCAGAUGUGAAAUCCCAGGGCUCAACCUUGGGACUGCAUUUGAAACUGUUUUUCUUGAGUACUGGAGAGGCAGACGGAAUUCCGAGUGUAGCGGUGAAAUGCGUAGAUAUUAGGAGGAACACCAGUGGCGAAGGCGGUCUGCUGGACAGCAACUGACGCUGAGGCGCGAAAGCGUGGGGAGCAAACAGGAUUAGAUACCCGUGUAGUC
rnacentral:rRNA from 1 species